AACCGCCACAAAUUGUGAAUUAUCAAUAUAAUGGCAUAAUAUUGAUACUCAAUACAACAUACAUCGGCAAAGUGGGUUAAAUGGUUAAUUUUAAGUAUCAGAGUAAACUGUGAAUUUUGAACUCGUGCUUAAAAUUUCAAAAUCAUAGAAUUUUAGAAUCACAUAAGCAAUAAAAGACAAGUUUAGUGAAAAUGAUUUAAAG